rnacentral:misc_RNA from 1 species
GAUGAAGAACGUAGCGAAAUGCGAUAAGUAAUGUGAAUUGCAGAAUUCAGUGAAUCAUCGAAUCUUUGAACGCACAUUGCGCCCGCCAGUAUUCUGGCGGGCAUGCCUGUUCGAGCGUCAUUACAACCCUCAGGCCCCCGGGCCUGGCGUUGGGGAUCGGCGGAAGCCCCCUGUGGGCACACGCCGUCCCUCAAAUACAGUGGCGGUCCCGCCGCAGCUUCCAUUGCGUAGUAGCUAACACCUCGCAACUGGAGAGCGGCGCGGCCAUGCCGUAAAACCCCAACUUCUGAAUGUUGACCUCGGAUCAGGUAGGAAUACCCGCUGAACUUAAGCAUAUCAAUAAGCGGAGGA